rnacentral:rRNA from 1 species
GACGUAGGGCGCGAGCGUUGUCCGGAUUUAUUGGGCGUAAAGAGCUCGUAGGCGGCUUGUCGCGUCGACUGUGAAAACCCGCGGCUCAACUGCGGGCUUGCAGCCGAUACGGGCAGGCGUAGGAGUUCGGUAGGGGAGACUGGAAUUCCUGGAUGUAGCGGUGAAAUGCGCAGAUAUCAGGAGGAACACCGGUGGCCGAAGGCGGGUCUCUGGGCCGAAUACUGACGCUGGAGGAAGCG